rnacentral:rRNA from 1 species
GCUUGUCUCAAAGAUUAAGCCAUGCAUGUCUAAGUACAAGCCUCAGUAAGGUGAAACCGCGAAUGGCUCAUUAAAUCACACCUAAUCUACUGGAAAGUUACUAGUUACUUGGAUAACUGAGGUAAUUCUUGAGCUAAUACAUGCGAAAAAUCUCGACUCACGGAGAGAUGCUUUUAUUAGAUCAAAACCAAACGGCUUCGGCCGUCUCAUUGGUGACUCUGAAUAACUUUGGGCUGAUCGUAUGGCCUUGUGCCGACGACGUUUCAUUCAAAUUUCUGCCCUAUCAGCUUUCGACGGUAGUGUAGUGGACUACCGUGGCGUUAACGGGUAACGGAGAAUUAGGGUUCGAUUCCGGAGAGGGAGCCUGAGAAACGGCUACCACAUCCAAGGAAGGCAGCAGG